UGUGGGAGGGGGCUUGCUCCCGAUAGCGGUGUGUCAGUCAACUUAUGUGUAGCUGAUCCACUGCUAUCGGGAGCAAGCCCCCUCCCACA
rnacentral:misc_RNA from 1 species